GACGCGCGAACGCGUCUCGAUCGUCGGAGCGUAAAAGUCCGGCUCGAGGCGUCUAGUAGUCGCGUUCGUAAGGCGCAUUUCUCGAGGGUUAGCGCCGCGACCGAUGCGAACGGCCGACGACGCCGUCGAGUUGAGGUCGAACGCCCUUCGCGGGUAUUCGUAACCAGCUCGUUCGGUUCGAUCGUUGGAUCUUAAUAAAAGGCAUCGAGCGAAUACCUUAAUAAUUACGUCGGCGUAAAACGCUCGACGAGCGGCGGAGACUCGGCCAGUCGUUCGAUACCUGCUCGCAGGUGCUCGUUCGGCGCGAGGUCGUUUCCCGAUGUCGCCGUCGACGCUACCGACGUUUAGGCGUCCGCGGCGUCCGAGUCGGCCACCCGUCCGACCCGUCUUGAAACACGGACCAAGGAGUCUAACGUACGCGCGAGUUAAUGGGCGGAAAAACCCAUAAGCGCAAUA
rnacentral:rRNA from 1 species